AAAGGGGGAAACAGUAUUUUUCAGCAGGAGAAAAUGCUCUUGGCAUACAAAAAUACAUAAUCCCUAUAUCUGGACUGAUAGCCAGCCAUAAGCACUAUACAACCAAACUGGUCAUGAAAAAAUUGAACUGCUCUCUUACACCUUAUACCAGGGGUGUGCAA